CCUGAACGCUGGCGGCGUGGCUAAGACAUGCAAGUCGUACGGUCUCCGUAGCAAUACGGGGACAGUGGCGGACGGGUGAGUAAUGAAUCGCUAAUGUACCCCGGACUCUGGGAUAGCCGGCCGAAAGGCCGGGUAAUACCAGAUGAUGUGGCGACAGGGCAUCCUGUUGACCCCAAAGGGAAACCGGUCUGGGCGCAGGCGAUUUCGUAUCAGGUAGUUGGUGCGGGUAACGGCCCACCAAGCCGACGACGCGUAGCUGGUCUGAGAGGACGGCCAGCCACAUUGGGACUGAGACACUGCCCAGACUCCUACGGGGGGCUGCAGUAACGAAUCUUCCGCAAUGCACGCAAGUGUGACGGAGCGACGCCGCGUGGAGGUUAAGUCCUGG
rnacentral:rRNA from 1 species